rnacentral:rRNA from 1 species
AUACGGAGGAUGCGAGCGUUAUCCGGAUUUAUUGGGUUUAAAGGGUGCGCAGGCGGGCGAUUAAGUCAGCGGUGAAAGGCUCGGGCUCAACCGGAGCAGUGCCGUUGAUACUGGUUGUCUUGAAUGCGGUCAAGGCCGGCGGAAUGUGGCGUGUAGCGGUGAAAUGCAUAGAUAUGCCACAGAACACCGAUAGCGAAGGCAGCUGGCCGGGCCUGCAUUGACGCUGAGGCACGAAAGCGUGGGGAUCGAACAGGAUUAGAUACCCUGGUAGUCCACGCUGUAAACGAUGGACACUCGUUGUCGGCGACAGACAGUCGGCGGCCAAGCGAAAGUGAUAAGUGUCCCACCUGGGGAGUACGGUCGCAAGGCUGAAACUUAAAUGAAUUGACGGGG